rnacentral:rRNA from 1 species
UACCAGCACCCCGAGUGGUCGGGACGAUUAUUAGGCCUAAAGCAUCCGUAGCCGGUUCUACAAGUCUUCCGUUAAAUCCACCUGCUUAACAGAUGGACUGCGGAGGAUACUAUGGAGCUAGGAGGCGGGAGAGGCAAGCGGUACUUAGUGGGUAGGGGUAAAAUCCGUUGAUCCAUUGAAGACCACCAGUGGCGAAGGCGGCUUGCCAGAACGCACUCGACGGUGAGGGAUGAAAGCUGGGGGAGCAAACCGG